ensembl:lncRNA
GACUAGUAUUUCAUAUGUCUGACUAAACAGGGUUAAGUUUCUCCAAAGCAAAGAAGUAGGCUAAAGUAUAUCUUAAAGCAACAUUUGUCUGAACUGAAGCAUUCCUAGAUGUUCAUCUAAACGUGCAACUCUGAAUGCAAAGGAAAAUUCCCGCCCUUUUCUGCCACCAUUGCAUAGCGCAGCAGCACUUCAACUCAUUUGAUGGACAGCUCCAUCUUCUCUGCUUAUUAAAUAUAGGCCAGCUGUGCGCAUCACAAAUCCCCAAAUGAUUGCCUUUCAGGUCUUUUUUCACCUCACCCCAUUGGCUGACCGCUGGCCUGAUUUCCACUGAUCCGUAUGUGCGAGCAUGUGAGACAGUACUUAACACACACAAACUCUGGCUCUCACACACACAUUUAGAGAGACACAAGAUGCAGCUGUUAUCCCACUGCGCUCUUUAGACCGCUGCUGACCUGACUCUCUCAUCCUUCAUCAGCCGAAGCUCUUCUGUCAGCAGAAGCAUGCGACGAUUGCUGGACAGCAGCUGGAUAAAGUUUGGACCUGCUGGAAGAGAUGACUGGGUGUCUGGGUCCCCAUCGCCACCUACUGCAGAACAACGACUACAGGGAUAUCACUGGAAUGAGCUUUCGAGCGAAAACGACGUGAAAUCGGAGCUUAUCCUGUACGUCGUCCUCCCGCUCGUCACGCUCCUUGUGUUCGGUGUCGCGUUCGUCCUUCUUUACCGAAGGUUCAGGCAGAACAAGCUCGGGCUUGCCAACAUCCUCGCGCUGGACCUGCAGCACCCAGAGCGCAACGCCGAGAUCCUGUCGUCACUCACCGGGAACGCGGAGCGGCUCAACAGCUCCAGCUCGGACUUGUCUGACGGGGUUUUCCUCAUGGUUUACCUCCCGCCGCCCUACGAGGACACGCUGACGAAGAUAACGCGGGCCGCCAGCCUCAGCAGCGGGAAAGACGUCGAGUCCAUCAAGAUCGAAGACCUCGAAGCCAAACUGUGUCCAGAGCUCAAGUUUGUCUGAGACAGAAGUAGCCUACUAAAGAGACACCGGGGCUAGAUGUAACAGAGCCCUGCUGGGAAAAAAAAUAAAAAAAAAAUAGAACCAUCCCAAAAAUUUCUAAUGGUUUCCACUACAAACAUUACAAACCAUCAGGUUUCCUAUAGUGUGUUUUGGGACAUGUUCCAUUGGGAUUUAUUGGUUUUAACAAGCCACCGAUAGAAGGUGACCAAUUAAGAGAUGCACCGUUUCCAUUAAAAUCAAUACAAUUCCCGUUAUAACCAGUAAAACCAUUAGAAAUUUUGUGAUGGUGUCUGUUGUUUUUAUUGUGAAGAUGACACAAGGGCUAUCUCAGUUUUUUGUUGUCUUGUUGUCUGGUUGAAUUCUCAUCUACAAAACGAAAAUAGCAGAUAAAAACUUAAAAGUAUGUGCCUGACCUUCUAAAAUAAACCUUGAGUGGUAAAUAUUCACUUGAGUAAAAAGUGUGACAACUAGACCCGGCCCCCAUCAUCAUCUGAUUCUGAACUGAAGUUUGCAGGGAUUUUUAUACUGUACCAUAAUAAAGCUAUACAGAAUUAAACAUCUUGAUAUUCAUAUUAGUUUUGCAUUACGACAAUGUAUUGUAUACCACAUCGACAUGAGAGUAAAUCUUUGUGCUUGUAUUUACAGUAGGCUAAGUAAUCACUGUGUGUUUUACUUUGAAAUAUUGCCUAGUUAGACACACUUUGUGUUGCACCACAAUUUUUAGAAGAGACAGCCUCCUUAUUAUGUCACUUUUUAUAUCUGCAAGACUGCAUCAGUCCUUGUUUGCAUUUAAAUAUGAAGCACAAUCCUGGCAGGUUUUGCAUUAUCAUGUACUCAUCUAAACCAUUUCUAAUAAAGACCAUAUUAAAG